CGUCUCUUAAAAGACAUCCAAUAAAAAUUGGAAUGAUACAAAGAAGAUAAGCAUAAUCCCAAUGAAAGGAUGACAUGCACAAACCGAGAAAUGAUCUAAUUUUUU